GGCGAACGGGUGAGUAACACGUGGGUAUCAACCCUCGGUACUGGGAUAGCCCGGGGAAACCCGGAUUAAUACCGGAUGGCCCUUCGGAUCUUCGGUUCUGAAGGAAAAGGUAGCUUCGGCCUCCGACCGAGGACGAGCCCCGCGGCGGAUUAGCUUGUUGGUGGGGUAACGGCCUACCAAGGCGGCGAUCCGUAGCUGGUCUGAGAGGACGACUCAGCCACACUGGGACUGAGACACGGCCAAAAUCCUCAUACGGGAGGCACAUGGGGAAUCUUGCGCUAAGUGCGGGAAACCGUGUACAGCAGCGAGCGCCGCGUGUAGGGAAGAAGGCCUUCGGGUUGUAAACCUCUUUCAGGAGAGGACCAAGCUUCUCGGGUUAAUAUGCCCAGAGGGUGAGCGGGAUUCUCCCGAAUAAGCCCCG
rnacentral:rRNA from 1 species